rnacentral:rRNA from 1 species
UCCUACGGGGGGCAGCAGUGGGGGAUAUUGCACAAUGGGGGGAACCCUGAUGCAGCGACGCCGCGUGGGUGAAGAAGCGCCUCGGCGCGUAAAGCCCUGUCAGCAGGGAAGAAAAUGACGGUACCUGAAGAAGAAGCCCCGGCUAACUACGUGCCAGCAGCCGCGGUAAUACGUAGGGGGCAAGCGUUAUCCGGAUUUACUGGGUGUAAAGGGAGCGCAGGCGGUCUGGCAAGUCUGAUGUGAAAUACCGGGGCUCAAUUCCGGGACUGCAUUGGAAACUGUCAGACUGGAGUGUCGGAGAGGCG